rnacentral:lncRNA from 1 species
ACAUAUCGGCGCUUCUGAGCUGCUUCACCGGCUAGAACUAUGAGCAAGCGGCGUGUCUCUUCGUCGGCUUGGAAGAAGUUCUGAGUGGAAAGGUGGUGUUUGAGGUUGUCAAAAGAGAUAGGGUUGGUAGUGGUGGGGGUGGAGGAGGAAGUUGUAGGAGAAAGAGAGAAAGUGGUGGUCGUGGAAGAGGUUGUGGUGGUGGUGGAGGAUGAGGAGGAGGAGGAGGAGGGGGAGGGGUGGAGGAAAAGGGAGGAAGGUGGAAGGUGGAUGGAUUCUGAGUUGGAGAGGCGUUUGAGGAAAGAAUAUUGGUGGUGAAGGGAUGCUAGAGAGUGGGUGGUCAUGGUUUGGGUUUGUGGUGGGAAUAGUGUGACAAUGGCGAAAGGUAAAGAGAGAAAAAGGCAGGUGUGAUUGGGCUUAGAUAAGAUACGAGUGAG